rnacentral:tRNA from 1 species
GGGGUCGUAGCUCAGUUGGCAGAGCAUCUGCUUUGCAAGCAGAGGGUCGCCGGUUCGAAUCCGGCCGGCUCCA